UACGUAGGGGGCCAGCGUUGUCCGAAGUUACUGGGCGUAAAGCGCGCGUAGGCGGGGGGUAAGUCCGGCUGUGAAAGCCCGGAGCUUAACUCCGGAGGUCGGUGGAUACUGCUCGUCUGAAGGUGCUAGAGGGAGAUGGAAUUACCGGUGUAGCGGUGAAAUGCGUAGAGAUCGGUAGGAACACCCGUGGCGAAGGCGGUUCUCUGGGCCUGUGCUGACGCUGAGGAGCGAAAGCGUGGGGAGCGAACAGG
rnacentral:rRNA from 1 species